GGAGGAAAGCAGGGGACCGCAAGACCUUGCGCUUUUGGAGUGGCCGAUGCCUGAUUAGCUAGUUGGUGGGGUAAUGGCCUACCAAGGCGACGAUCAGUAGUUGGUCUGAGAGGACGACCAGCCACACUGGGACUGAGACACGGCCCAGACUCCUACGGGAGGCAGCAGUGGGGAAUUUUGGACAAUGGGCGAAAGCCUGAUCCAGCAAUGCCGCGUGAGUGAAGAAGGCCUUCGGGUUGUAAAGCUCUUUCAGUCGAGAAGAAAAGGUUGUGACUAAUAAUCACAACUCAUGACGGUAUCGACAGAAGAAGCACCGGCUAACUACGUGCCAGCAGCCGCGGUAAUACGUAGGGUGCGAGCGUUAAUCGGAAUUACUGGGCGUAAAGGGUGCGCAGGCGGCUUUGUAAGUCAGAUGUGAAAUCCCCGGGCUUAACCUGGGAAUUGCGUUUGAAACUACAAGGCUAGA
rnacentral:rRNA from 1 species